GCCUUGGGACCACCAUGGGGUAAAGGGAGGGCCAGUGGCAGUUGUCAGAUGGGGUUUGGCAGCUCAAGUCGCAGCAUGCCAGCAUAUUGAUGGACCCAGAGGAAUGGACAAGAGCAUAACCACAGGGAAUGACAGGAAUUCUGCUGGAAAAUUAUGACUCCUGUCUGCAUAUUUCCCCCUACUUACUGUAUGAUACUGAUGCAAUUUCACACACUUUUACGUCAUUGUACUUUCUAGUCUAAGUUAAAUGUUUAUGACACAAAUGUUACAAGUUCUGCCUUAUUUUGAUUAUUUGAUUUAAAAUCUACAUUACAGCACAGACGAGUCAGUUUCCUGUGCCCAUUUUUUGAUUGCACAGCCAAUGUUGAGAAAAGCAAUGGAUGAACAUUCUUGUGAUAUUUAAUUCUAAUAAAAAAAUUCACUUUUCCA